UUAGAUUGAAUCCUUAGAGUCCAUUUUUACUAAAAUUUUCUCUCCUCAUGGCCGAUCUGAAGUGAAUUUCAGUGCAGGGGUAAAACGAUAAUUUUAAAACUUUUUCAAAAUUAUAAUUUUACAGUGAAAAUUAUUAAUUAAUCUAAUUAAUUAAUAUAUAUUAACCCUACACAAGGAUCUAAAUAUGAUAUAUAUAGCAUGCAUUUAAAUUUGAAAUUUUGAAUUCUACAGUAAACAUUUUACUGUUAUGUGUUCAGAAUACAUUACCUUCAUGCAGGU
rnacentral:lncRNA from 1 species